rnacentral:rRNA from 1 species
GAUCGAGUUUGAUCCUGGCUCAGAUUGAACGCUGGCGGCAUGCCUUACACAUGCAAGUCGAACGGUAACGGGUUAAGCCGACGAGUGGCGAACGGGUGAGUAAUAUAUCGGAACGUGCCCAGUCGUGGGGGAUAACGUAGAGAAAUUUACGCUAAUACCGCAUACGAUCUAAGGAUGAAAGCGGGGGACCUUCGGGCCUCGCGCGAUUGGAGCGGCUGAUAUCAGAUUAGGUUGUUGGUGAGGUAAAAGCUCACCAAGCCGACGAUCUGUAGCUGGUUUUGAGAGAACGACCAGCCACACUGGGACUGAGACACGGCCAGACUCCGUACGGGAGGCAGCAGUGGGGUAAUUUGGACAAUGGGGCGAAAGCCUGAUCCAGCAAUGCCCGCGUGC